GGGGGAGUGCCAGAGCGGUCAAAUGGAACGCGCUGUAAACGCGUCGGCUAUGCCUACGCAGGUUCGAAUCCUGCCUCCCCCAC
rnacentral:tRNA from 1 species